UACAGAGGUCUCAAGCGUUGUUCGGAUUCAUUGGGCGUAAAGGGCUCGUAGGCGGUUUGUCGCGUCGGGAGUGAAAACUCAGGGCUUAACCCUGAGCCUGCUUCCGAUACGGGCAGACUAGAGGUAUGCAGGGGAGAAUGGAAUUCCUGGUGUAGCGGUGAAAUGCGCAGAUAUCAGGAGGAACACCGGUGGCGAAGGCGGUUCUCUGGGCAUUACCUGACGUGAGGAGCGAAAGUGUGGGGAGCGAACAGG
rnacentral:rRNA from 1 species